CCUCCCACAGGGUGCGGUGUACUUUUAUAUAGAGGAAAACAAUGACUCUGCACUUUAUUCUCCUCAUUUCCUGACUGAAGGCUCACAGCUCUGCGUCGACUUACAGCCGUGAAAACAGCUCUCAACCACCAUGGCUUCAGUGGAGGUUGAAUACUGUAGCGGAUGAGGUUACUCAUACCGUUACGGGCAACUAGCCGAAGCAAUUCGGCAGGUUCCUGGAGUGAAGGAGGUGACCGGGAGGGUCGGGAGGCAGAACAGCUUUGAGAUUUCUGUGAACGGCCAGCUGAUCUACUCCAAGCUCAAGACGGGAAAAAUCCCUCCUUCGGAUGAGGUGGUGAAAUUGAUCAAGAAGUUCUUGAAAGAAUGAGGACACCGUUAAAAGCUGGAGGUUAAAGCAUUGGCUGUAUUCACACUGCAAGAUCAAUGGUUUGUUUUGUAAUGGCUACUUUCUCUCACAACUGCUUAUUUGAGCACAAAAGGAAAUUCAAACAAGAAAACAAGACAAGAAAAACAAUUCAAAAAAUAUAAUUGGGAAAAAUUCAAACAAAGACAAAUGAGUUUUACCGUCAGCCAUCAGACCAUUUAUCUUCACUGUGAAUACAGACAAGCGAUGAUAAGAGCAACUCUGAAGAUCUGGGCGCUGAUCUUUACUUCUUUUUAUGAAUGAACACAUGAAAAAUAAUGCCGUGUGUUCACGAUGCAAGUCAAGAAGCUGUUCAGCUGCCUGGAGCCUGAGGAACUGCUCUCUUCAAAAACAUCACAUGUACACUUACUCAGGAAUGGGAACAAAAUGAAACUGUUUAUCAAACCACACAUGUUACCAAUUUAAAGGAAUAUUUUUGACAUUUUGGGAAAUUUGCUCAUUUGCUUCCUUGCCAAGAGUUAGCAAAUGAGACGACUGCUACCACUUUUAUGUUUGAAUGUUAAUAUGAAGCUACGGCUAACGUUUGGUUAGCUUAUCUUAGCCUUAUGUCCCGAACCAAGGGGAUACAUCUAGGCUGGCUCCUGUCAAUCAAAGCUGCCUACCAGCACUUCUGAAGCUCACUAAUGAACAUCUGUUUUGUUUGAUCCAUGCAAAAACCAGAGUGUAAAAACAGCAAUUUGCUGUUUAAUGGGGGGGUUAUAUGCCGGACUGUUUCAUUGCCUGGCCCCCUAGCAGAGAGUUACGGGUCCAGGCAAUGAAACAGUCCGGCACACAACCUCGUGAAAUAGUGAAUUGUAAUUUCUACACUUUUGGUUUUUAUGUGGAUCAAACAAGGCACAAUAUAAGAUGUUUAGUUUUGUGAACUUUAGAGGUUCUGGUAGGCAGGUUUGUUACGUCUGAACAGCCAGUCUAGAUGUCUCCCCCUGUUUCCUGUCUUUAUGCUAAGCUAAGCGAACCAGCUGCUAGUUGUAGCCAUAUUGUUACCAUUCAGAUACAAGAGUGGUCUUAAUCUUCUCAUUUAACUCUCGGCAACAAUUUAUCAAAUAAAAUGCCAGACUUUUCAACACAUUUUUGGUUGGUCAAACAUUCAAUAUCUUUUUUUUUUUUUUUAAAUGUAAUUUUCAUUGUUGUUGAUUUUUUUAUUGAUUAGCACUUAAUCUGAAAUACUUAAUAUAUACAGUCUCUCCUCUUCACGAUGCAAGUCUAGAAGCUUUUCAGCCAGCUUGAGCCUGAGAAACUGCUCUCUUACAGAAAUAAAACAUGUCGCCUACUGAGGAAUUGAAAACAAAUGAAACUGUUUAUCAAGCCACACAUGGUACAAAGGAAUAGUUUGACAUUUUUGGAAAUAAGAUCAUUGGCUUUUUUGCCAAGAGUUAGCAAAUGAGACGACUGCUACCACUUUUAUGUUUGAAUGUUAAUAUGAAGCUACGGCUAACGUUUGGUUAGCUUAUCUUAGCCUUAUGUCCCGAACCAAGGGGAUACGUCUAGGCUGGCUCCUGUCAAUCAAAGCUGCCUACCAGCACUUCUGAAGCUCACUAAUGAACAUCUGUUUUGUUUGAUCCAUGCAAAAACCAGAGUGUAAAAACAGCAAUUUGCUAUUUAAUGGGGGGGUUAUAUGCCGGACUGUUUCAUUGCCUGGCCCCCUAGCAGAGAGUUACGGGUCCAGGCAAUGAAACAGUCCGGCACACAACCUCGUGAAAUAGUGAAUUGUAAUUUCUACACUUUUGGUUUUUAUGUGGAUCAAACAAGGCACAAUAUAAGAUGUUUAGUUUUGUGAACUUUAGAGGUUCUGGUAGGCAGGUUUGUUAUGUCUGAACAGAGCCAGUCUAGAUGUCUCCCCCUGUUUCCUGUCUUUAUGCUAAGCUAAGCGAACCAGCUGCUAGUUGUAGCCAUAUUGUUACCAUUCAGAUAAGAGAGUGGUCAUAAUCUUCUCAUUUAACUCUUGGCAAGAAUUUAUAAAUGCCAAACUAUUCUACCAUGUUUUGGUUGGUCAGACAUACAAUAUUUGUUGAUGAGCACUAAAUCUGAAAUCGUGAUGAAUACAAACUCUUCUUUUCAGAUCGAAUUUGCAAAAUAUGCCCUACUACUAAAUCUGCUAUUUCUUGUUACUGUAGCAAUUGUAUUAACGUAGCAAAAAUGACUUGACUCGACCAAAUAUUUGAACUUUUUAAAACAACUUAAAGUAUUGUUAUGCUUUUGUAAUUUAAUUUGUAAUAAAUUCAAACCAAACUAAUUCUCUGAAAUGCAAUAAAGCAUCACUGAAUGGUGACUUUUACUUA